rnacentral:rRNA from 1 species
AUUGAACGCUGGCGGCAUGCUUUACACAUGCAAGUCGAACGGGGUGAGGGGGCAACCCCUCAUUCAGUGGCGAACGGGUGAGUAAUGCAUCGGAACGUGUCCCGUAGUGGGGGAUAACGCCGGGAAACCGGCGCUAAUACCGCAUAGGCUCUACGGAGGAAAGUGGGGGACCGCAAGGCCUCACGCUCUGGGAGCGGCCGAUGUCCGAUGAGCUUGUUGGCGGGGGAAAGGCCCACCAAGGCGACGAUCGGUAGCUGGUCUGUGAGGAUGAUCAGCCACACUGGGACUGAGACACGGCCCAGACUCCUACGGGAGGCAGCAGUGGGGAAUUUUGGACAAUGGGGGCAACCCUGAUCCAGCCAUGCCGCGUGCGGGAAGAAGGCCUUCGGGUUGUAAACCGCUUUUAGUCGGAAAGAAAAGGCACGCCCUAAUACGGCGUGUUCUUGACGGUACCGGCGGAAUAAGCACCGGCUAACUACGUGCCAGCAGCCGCAGUAACAC